UACGAAGGGGGCUAGCGUUGCUCGGAAUUACUGGGCGUAAAGGGCGCGUAGGCGGAUAUUUAAGUUGGGGGUGAAAUCCCGGGGCUCAACCUCGGAAUUGCCUUCAAAACUGGAUAUCUUGAGUUCGGGAGAGGUGAGUGGAACUCCGAGUGUAGAGGUGAAAUUCGUAGAUAUUCGGAAGAACACCAGUGGCGAAGGCGACUCACUGGCCCGAUACUGACGCUGAGGAGCGAAAGCAUGGGGAGCGAACAGG
rnacentral:rRNA from 1 species